rnacentral:rRNA from 1 species
AUUGAACGCUGGCGGCAGGCCUAACACAUGCAAGUCGAACGGUAACAGGAAGAAGCUUGCUUCUUUGCUGACGAGUGGCGGACGGGUGAGUAAUGUCUGGGAAACUGCCUGAUGGAGGGGGAUAACUACUGGAAACGGUAGCUAAUACCGCAUAACGUCGCAAGACCAAAGAGGGGGACCUUCGGGCCUUUUGCCAUCGGAUGUGCCCAGAUGGGAUUAGCUAGUAGGUGGGGUAACGGCUCACCUAGGCGACGAUCCCUAGCUGGUCUGAGAGGAUGACCAGCCACACUGGAACUGAGAAACGGUCCAGACUCCUACGGGAGGCAGCAGUGGGGAAUAUUGCACAAUGGGCGCAAGCCUGAUGCAGCCAUGCCGCGUGUAUGAAGAAGGCCUUCGGGUUGUAAAGUACUUUCAGCGGGGAGGAAGGGAGUAAAGUUAAUACCUUUGCUCAUUGACGUUACCCGCAGAAGAAGCACCGGCUAACUCCGUG